GUGGGAGACCAGAGAAGAUGAGUCUCCUCUUUGAGCACAAAGGAGAAAGGCCCCGCUCAGGGGCUCCUGCAUAGCAGGGAAAAUUUAAGGCAGCUGAGCUUAAGUUGUUUCCCGGGGCGUGUCAUUGUGGCUAUUGGGAAGCAGAUGAAUCCGGUGUUACUUUGAUGACUGUGCGAGAAGAGCUAGACGCCAGGGGCAGGGAGAACGAAGGAGUAGGUCUGUGUUCCCCGCAAGUGGUACACGGGAGAGGAAAGCUCGGAGGGGUCAGCUGGCUCCCCAAGGUGGUGCCUGGGCGGAAGGCAGGCAGCAAAGGCCGGCUGAGUAGGUCCGACAGAGUUGGCACCUGGAACAGGGACACAGGAUCGGACACAGCUACAGGAUUUCGUCUGUUAAAGCAAUGACCAACUCCAUAUCAGACAAAGUAAACGUGCAUGCCGAGCCAGAAGCACCUCAGCAUACCUGAAAGCAAGGAGAGUAUGACAGACUACUAGUCGAGGAGUCUCCCGUGGCCCAAAGGUAGAAGUUUUUUUAUUUUUUUCUUCUGUUCAUGUUUGCCGUACACGGUGUUUACGUUCAC
rnacentral:lncRNA from 1 species